AACCCUAAAAUUUUCCCCUUUCCCUCUCACUCUCGUCUAUUCAUUGUGUUUUUCACAAAUUAUUAACACCCCUCACCAUAGUUGAGACACAGACACAUAGUAGCUUCUCAGCCACUAUCGGAGGUAAUCAGCCCCUUCUCUCUCAGAGGUAACUUAUUCUUCUAUCUCUUGUUCGAUAACAUGUUGCCAGAUUCUUAUUGUUACGUUUUAGAUUUCAUAAUUACGUUUUAGUUCGCGAGAUUAAGAAUUAGGGUUUAUGUAUAAGAUGUUCCCAAGUUCCGAAUGAAAGAAUUAAGAGGACUGGUCUCAAUGUUUUGGGGCCCCAUUUUUUAACUUUGUAUGUGUUUCUUUCAUCUUCACCUUUUAUUCAUAGAUCUGUCCCACAUUAAUAUGCACUUACAGAUUAUUUUUAAAUUCUAAAAUGUUGAUUAUAAUUUGAAUUUUGGUGUGAAAGUGACUGACAACUCAACCUUUUUGGAUGUCUAAAUCGAAAUGAAAAUAUGAACAUGCAGAUUAUUUGUUCUUCCAAUUGGUAUACUAAUAAUACAAUGUAAAUGAGGUUAUAUAUAAGUAUACUUCAGGCAUCUUUUGACCCAUUUCUUUUUAAGCUAUUAUGUUUAACCUGUUUGUGCAAUUGUAAAGGUAAGUAUACUUCAGGCAUCAGGGUUACAUUUUUUUUUAAUUUCAAGAUGAUUUUUGGAGAAUAAGAACACAAAUAUAGGAUUUGUGUUGCCUUUUAACAGAUUCAUACAGAAUGUCUUGAAUAGAGUUUCAAAACAGAUUCAUACAGAAUGUCUUGACUAGAGUUUCAAACUUGUACAGUUGGUUACAAUAUUCUUGUAACAUGUAUUUUACAAUCCAUCAACUAAUGAAAUGUAUCACAGACGAAAAAAAAGAACAAGAAGAUAAACGAAUCGCACAAAUAUCAAUACAUAAGAAAAACUAUACAUUUUUCUUUUCGGAACACCCUGAAGAAGAUUCCACCCGGUACCGGUAGUACAUGUAAGGGUCUCCCUCAAAGAAGACUUCACUUUGAUCCAUGUGAGUAAUGCUGACAUGGAUAUCGUAGUUCCCAAUAUCACGUUGUGCGUUUUGAAUUCUAUUUACAGACUCGAGAACACGAGAGUUUGAAGAAUCAAUAUUAAUAUACUCAAGUGUGGAGAUGUUUCCUAGUACUAGUGGAAUUUCUCUUGGAUCUUUACAACUUCUCACUGCUAGUUUCCUGAGGCUUGGAAAGUUGAUGCUAGAAACUUCCCAGACACGGAUGUUCAGCCUUGUUAACUUCAAAUACUUCAACUGGUGAAACUGCUCAUCACCAGUUUCCCACAGGUAUUCCGUGAACGAAGAGUUAAUAGUCAACAGAGCAGUUUAGAAGCACCACCAAGGCCAUAAUUUGUGUUGUUGAUUUGUGUGAGUAGCGAUUUGCAGAGUUAACAGUCAACAGAGCAGUUGUGCUUAAUAGGAAAUUAUGGCGGAUGUCAUGCCAAGAAGACAUGGAGGCGAUGGUGCUGGAGAUCCACCACCUCCUAGCAGUUUUUGGCGGGGCUAGCAUGAAGAGGACCGUUGAAUAUAGUGAAUUGGCUGAUGCGGCGACAAUAAGGAGUAAGUGCAUGGAACAACUAUGAAGUGGGAAAUAUGAUUGCUAAGAAAGAGUUAACACAAUGAAUAUUUUACUCGCAUGAAGAUUGUGAAAGAAAUUUAUGAACACAAUGGAGUUUUGCGUUUUUGUUCAAACAUUUUUUAAAAUAUUUGUUUUGUAUGUUCGAUAUUUAGACUUAGGUUGACACUUAUUAGUUAUUUCUUUGCAAACAUUUGGAAUCUUUGAAAGAUGAUUGAUUGAACUUUUUAAUUGAAUUGAUUAUAUUAUUCUGAUUUC